rnacentral:misc_RNA from 1 species
CCUGAACGCACAAAAUCUGACGCAGUUUCCUCGCCCUCCCCUCUGACACGCGCGUGUGCGCAGCUUGCUCCCGAGUACGUGUGAUCGUCGACUCAUUCAUACGCACCGGCGAACAAAGAGAAAUUUAUCUCCUCCACGUCCACCAAGACACACGCGCAUCACCACAUACAUCUCUGCAUACGCGGCGAGUAGAGUCACACGCACGCAACACAACGCCAGAAGAAACGGGCAAAGCGCGCGAUUCCUCACGUCUACAUACGCCUACCGCGUUGCCUCCUCUCCUGCUCGUCGGACACAGCGGGGUAUUUCGCUUUCGGCGCUCAACCGCUGCAGUUUUCUUGCUUCCUUGAACUGUUUUGGUGUGUGUGUGCGUUUCUCCUCUCCCCCUUUCCCAUUAUUGUUGCCUCCGUCACUCUUUCUCGCUUUGUCUUGCUGUAUUCGCUACCGCCACCCCAGUGCGCUCUUUGCCAACGGCCCCUGCCGCGUAUCCCCAUCAUCGACAUCAAGCGCUCUCUCCUCCCGAAAGGUCUGUUCUGUCUGUUUUGUUGAGGUUGCUGUGCUUCUUUCUUUUUCGAAGAUUUUCGCUCGUUUAUUUAUACACCGCACUGCGCCUCCCUCCCUCCUCUUCGCAUUGCUUUCUUUCCUCUUCCCCAGCCCACCGCGCUGUAUCGAAUUCACCAUCACCUCCGCCGCACCCACAAACGCCCCUUUCCCCCUCAUCCCUUCCUCUCUUUGCACACGCGCGCCCUUUUUUUUGCGAGUGCGCAGUGGAGUGUCGAUCGACGACGCUACGCUUGCAUGCACAUCACCGCCGUCAACUGAAGCCCACCGAGAGAAUACGCUUCUUUUUCUUUCGGCCACUCUUAGUCCCUGACGCUGCCACUCCACCCCCUCCCCCUGUUCUGCUCCUCCAGUGAGAACACCACCCACACAUCACACGAGGGGGCCAAAAAGUGCGAUAGAGACGACGACCCGAGACAGCGUAACGUGCACGGAAAGAUUCGUACGCAUCCAGCAAUGGCGGCGAUUUCAACCAAGGAGCUGAUGGAAGUGACGCUAGGCAAGAAGCUCGGCGCUGGCAGCUUCGGCUCGGUUUUUGUGGGUGUGCUUCCCAGCGGCAACUUCGUUGCGGUGAAGAUACUGGAGCUCUCAGAUGACGCGCCGUCAAACACGGAGGUGGAGAUUCACCGGAAGAUGGUGCACCCCAACAUCAUUCGCUAUCUGUACAGCCGCAUUGAUUUGGAAAGCACGCCAAAGAAACUCUACGUCUACCUGGAGUUUGUGACUGGUGGCUCGGUGACGUCGCUGAUGAAGAGCUUGCCGAAUGGCUGCCUGCCCUAUGCAGUAGUGCGCGUGUACGCACGGCAUAUGUUCCAAGGAUUGGAGUAUCUUCAUAGCAACCAGGUUGCCCACCGUGACAUCAAGGGCGACAACGUGCUUAUUUCCAUGGACACAGGCACGGCAAAGCUAGCGGACUUUGAUCAGGCAAAAAUCAUGAACACGCACGGCACCUUGCGCAAAGCGGCGACGGCGACGUUGGCGGGCACGCCAUACUGGAUGGCGCCUGAGGUGAUCACAGACGAGGACGGCUACGAUCCAUUCAAGGCUGAUAUCUGGUCAGCGGGCUGCACCGUGGCGGAGAUGAUCACAGGGCGCGCUCCGUGGACCCCGAUGCCGAAUGUGAUGCACAUCAUGAACAAGCUGGCGCUCUCGACCGGCUGGCCUGAUGCGGUGCCGAAGGACGCCAAAGAGCUCGGCUCGCAAGACGCGUACGACUUCUUAGACUUGUGCUUCCAACGAGAUGUAUCGAAGCGGCCGCCAGCCGCUACUCUCCUUAAGCACGUGUUUCUCCGAGUGUGAUGGCGCUGAGGGAUGAAACGAUCCAGUUUCCCAAAUCAUGGCAGAUAGUGCAUACAUAUAAGAAACCAUUCACGGCUGGCUCUGAAAAAAAAAUGGUGAGGAGGUGCGAUGGUGAUUUCUCAGGAUGUGAGGUGAAGUCGGAGAGGGGUAGAGGGGGCGGAUCGUUGCAAGCUUGGAUGGGUGCGUCUUUCCUUUUCCCUGUAUCUCUGCAUGAUUGACAUUGACGUAAUUGCCCAUUGCGGUGCCUCACGAAGGUCCCCCUCCUUCUAUCUGUCCACCUCUCUUGAGUGUUCAUGUAGUUCUGUGCGCUGCACUGCUUCACAAAGGGUGAGCGUAGCGGUAUGCGUGAGCCUGUGCGCGUCCGCCGUGUAACGGUGGCUGUAAGCCACGCUGUGCGCAUUUUUUUUUCGUUUUGUGCUCUUUGGCGACUCCGCGCGUGCACUGCCGCGAUGUUUGCGCUCCACCAAACUGAGGUGCCGACCUCAUUUUGGGUGUUGCUGUGUCGAUCGCUGUGUCUCGUUUUUUUUUUCUUCUUUCUGUAGUCCUUUGUUUUAUGAUGAGCUAUGUGUGUGUGUGUGUGUUGGUGUUUGCAUAUUUUGUGCGCCUCUCUGGUGUGGAGCGGAGUUGAAUGGGCUUUGGUGAGCUGAGGUGUGUGUAGUACUUCACGCCACCCCCUCGUGAUGUCGAUCGUGUUUUAUCUCUUUUCAGUUUUUCCGAUGCUUUCUCUUGCACGUGUGAUUGCUGCAUUUUGAUGAUUUUAUCUUUUUUUUUAUUGUUGCUUCUCUCUCUGUAGCUCGCUUUUUUUCUUUGUUUCUACUCCCUUGCGGUCUUUGCGGUAUGCAUGCGCGUGUGUGUGUUAUUGUUGCGCACCCAUACAUCUCCCUCUCUACGCCCACGCCCCUCGCUCCCCCGAUCUUUCUGUUCGUAUGUCUUUUUUUCUCGCCCAGCGGCAAUCAGGGCCCGUAGGCAAGUAUGAUGAGUUUGUCUCUCCCCCUCCCUGUGUACACGUGCUGAUGGACCGAGGUCCUUCCUCGCGUCGCACCGCGCCUCCUCCUGUUUUCACGCCCUUUUGUUUUCGUCAUCGUCUAUUGCACACAUGUGAGUGCGCGCGUGCGCGAAUGCCCCGAAACAAUGUGGCGUGAACUCGCAGGGAGGAAGCGAAGAGUGACAGCAACGUUGUGUGUGUGCAGCGAGCGCUGCAGCUGUGUGCAGCAAAGACACUAAAAGAACCUUUAGAGCAACAGUUAGCGUACCAAAGACGUGUUUCGCAGAGGUGCCCUGACCGUGUGUAAGUGCGCGCGCAUGCAAGCAAGGCGAGAAGUAAAGAAAGGUGAGUCAGGGUUACACGCGAGGCAUACCCUUUGCAUGCACACACGCACAGUGAGCAGCACGCCUACACAC